rnacentral:miRNA from 1 species
UAAAGCAUAAAAAAGUCAACAAAACUUAAAGCGGCGGUCUCAUCGUAAUCUCAGCCCAAUACCCUAUUUUCCUCUCCCCUAUAUAAAUACUUUCUUCUUCUUUAGAUCUUCCGCUCACAAAUAAACCCAAAUAUAUCAAUCUACCGUGUUGGUGACUAAGUACUUUCGCUUGCAGAGAGAAAUCACAGUGGUCAAAAAAGUUGUAGUUUUCUUAAAGUCUCUUUCCUCUGUGAUUCUCUGUGUAAGCGAAAGAGCUUGCUCCCUAAACUUAUCUCUCUGAUGAUUUAAUGUUAGAGAUCUUCGUAAAUCUAUGUGUUUGAUAGAUCUGAUGCGUUUUUUGAGUUGAUGAUUUGAUUAUUUUUCACUGGAAAGUAUCUCAUUAGGGUAACGAUAAUGUUUUAUGGAUUUGGUUGUAUAA